AACCUGGUUGAUCCUGCCAGUAGUCAUAUGCUUGUCUCAAAGAUUAAGCCAUGCAUGUCUAAGUACAAGCCUCACUAAGGUGAAACCGCGAAUGGCUCAUUAAAUCACACCUAAUCUACUGGAUAGUUAACAGUUACUUGGAUAACUGCGGUAAUUCUGGAGCUAAUACAUGCACAAAGCCCCGAACUUACGUGAGGGGCGCUUUUAUUAGAUCAAAACCAAACGGCUUCGGCUGUUCUCUUGGUGACUCUGAAUAACUUUGGGCUGAUCGCAUAGCCUAGCGCUGGCGACAUAUCCUUCGAAGGUGUGCCCUAUCAACUGUCGACUGUGGCAUAGACGCCCACAGUGGUUUUGACGGGUAACGGGGAAUCAGGGUUCGAUUCCGGAGAGGGAGCCUUAAAAACGGCUACCACAUCUAAGGAAGGCAGCAGGCACGCAAAUUACCCAAUGACCGAAGGUCGAGGUAGUGACGAAAACUAACGAUACGGGACUCAUCUGAGGCCCCGUAAUCGGAAUGAGUACACUUUAAAACCGUCCCCGAGGAUCUAUUGGAGGGCAAGUCUGGUGCCAGCAGCCGCGGUAAUUCCAGCUCCAAUAGCGUAUAUUAAAGUUGUUGUGGUUAAAAAGCUCGUAGUUGGAUUUCUGUUGAGGGCGACCGGUGUACACCUCGUGUAUUAUUUGGUUCGGUCUCGGCAUCCUCUUGGGGAACGUUUCUGGACUUUAUUGGACAGGGCGAGAUUCAAGACUUUUACUUUGAGGAAAUUAGAGUGUUCACGGCAGGCAAGCGCUUUGAAUACAUUAGCAUGGAAUAAUAAUAUAGGACCUUCGUUCUAUUUUGUUGGUUUCUAGAACUUAGGUAAUGAUUAAUAGGGACAAUUGGGGGCAUUCGUAUUAACGCGUCAGAGGUGGAAUUCUUGGAUUGCGUUACGACGAACUACUGCGAAAGCAUUUGCCAAAGAUGUUUUCAUUGAUCAAGAACGAAAGUAUGGGGAUCGAAGACGCUUAGAUACCGUCGUAGUCUAUACCAUAAACUAUGCCAACUAGAGAUUGGUGGGGUUAUCCUAUGUGGCUCCAUCAGCAUCUUAUGAGAAAUCAAAGUUUUUGGGUUCCGGGGGGAGUAUGGUCGCAAGGCUGAAACUUAAAGGAAUUGACGGAAGGGCACCACCAGGAGUGGAGCCUGUGGCUUAAUUUGACUCAACACGGGAAAACUUACCAGGUCCGGACAUAGUAAGGAUUGACAGAUUGAUAGCUCUUUCUUGAUUCUAUGGGUGGUGGUGCAUGGCCGUUCUUAGUUGGUGGAGUGAUUUGUCUGGUUAAUUCCGUUAACGAACGAGACCCCAGCCUGCUAAAUAGUUUGACCCGUCUUCGACGGGCUUUAACUUCUUAGAGGGACUAUUCUGUGUAUAACGAAUGGAAGUUUGGGGCAAUAACAGGUCUGUGAUGCCCUUAGAUGUUCUGGGCCGCACACGGGCUACACUGCGAGGUUCAACAAGCUUCACAACCUGGUUCGAUAGGAUCGGGCAAUCUUUUGAACUCCUCGCGUGAUAGGGAUAGACUAUUGCAAUUGUUAGUCUUCAACGAGGAAUUCCUAGUAAACGCAAGUCAUCAGCUUGCAUUGAUUACGUCCCUGCCCUUUGUACACACCGCCCGUCGCUCCUACCGAUUGGAUGAAUCGAUGAGUCCUUUGGAGAUUACAAGUGAAGCCUUCGGGUGGAACUUGCGAUCGAAAUUGUGCAAAUCUGUUCAUCUAGAGGAAGGAGAAGUCGUAACAAGGUUUCCGUAGGUGAACCUGCAGAAGGAUC
rnacentral:rRNA from 1 species